rnacentral:rRNA from 1 species
GACGAACGCUGGCGGCGUGCCUAACACAUGCAAGUCGAGCGCUGAAGGUUGGUACUGGUACCGAGUGGAGGAGAAGCGAACGGGAGAGUAACGUGAGGGGAAUCUGCCUUUGAGCGGGGACAACAUUUGGAGACGAAUGCUAAGACCGCAUAAAAACCUUAAACACGAGUUUUGAGUUUGAAAGAUGCAAUUGCAUCACUCAAAGAUGAUUCCGCGUUGUAUUAGCUAGUUGGUGUGGUAAAGGCUCACCAAGGCGAGGAUACAUAGCCGACCUGAGAGGGGGAUCGGCGACAUUGGGACUGGAACACGGCCAAAACUACUACGGGACGCAGCAGUAGGGAAUCGUCGGCAAUGGACGAAAGUAUGACCGAGCAACGCCGCGCGAGUGGCGACGGUUUUCGGUUCGUGAUGCUCGGUUUGUGGUGGAGAACGGUGGUGAGCGUGGACAGCGCAUCUAGUGACGGUACCUGCAGAGGAAGCAACGGCUAACUACGUG